rnacentral:rRNA from 1 species
ACAGGGAUUGCCCUAGUAACGGCGAGUGAAGCGGCAACAGCUCAAAUUUGAAAUCUGGCGUCUUUGGCGUCCGAGUUGUAAUUUGCAGAGGGCGCUUUGGCAUCGGCAGCGGUUCAAGUUCCUUGGAACAGGACGUCACAGAGGGUGAGAAUCCCGUACGUGAUCGCUAGCCUUUACCGUGUAAAGCCCCUUCGACGAGUCGAGUUGUUUGGGAAUGCAGCUCUAAAUGGGAGGUAAAUUUCUUCUAAAGCUAAAUACUGGCCAGAGACCGAUAGCGCACAAGUAGAGUGAUCGAAAGAUGAAAAGCACUUUGGAAAGAGAGUUAAAAAGCACGUGAAAUUGUUGAAAGGGAAGCGCUUGCAGCCAGACUUGCCUGUAGUUGCUCAUCCGGGUUUUUACCCGGUGCACUCUUCUAUAGGCAGGCCAGCAUCAGUUUGGGCGGUUGGAUAAAGGUCUCUGUCAUGUACCUCUCUUCGGGGAGAACUUAUAGGGGAGACGACAUGCAACCAGCCUGGACUGAGGUCCGCGCAUCUGCUAGGAUGCUGGCGUAAUGGCUGUAAGCGGCCCGUCUUGAAACACGGACCAAGGAGUCUAACAUCUAUGCGAGUGUUUGGGUGUCAAGCCCGAACGCGUAAUGAAAGUGAACGGAGGUGGGAACCUUUCGGGGUGCACCAUCGACCGAUCCUGAUGUCUUCGGAUGGAUUUGAGUAAGAGCAUAGCUGUUGGGACCCGAAAGAUGGUGAACUAUGCUUGAAUAGGGUGAAGCCAGAGGAAACUCUGGUGGAGGCUCGCAGCGGUUCUGACGUGCAAAUCGAUCGUCAAAUUUGGGCAUAGGGGCGAAAGACUAAUCGAACUAUCUAGUAGCUGGUUCCUGCCCAA